UUCACAUCUCGCCGCGGAACACCACUGAGAGCAACAGAACACAACACACCAUGUUCCUACUCCGAAUGAAUCAUUUUAAUGUUUAGAAAUCGUAUUUUGUGCUACUCUUUCACGUAGGUCAUUGAGAUGCGAUGCGUUCUUCAUUGAGGAGAAGCGGACUGGCGCGAACGCGUUAUUAUUAAUCAGCUUUCAUAAGGCGGUCGAGCUGGACGCUUCUGUUAGACAGGUGUUCCGUUUGUGUUUCGACCACCUGCUCUGGUACCAUGAUGUUAGGGCAGUCUCCACACCUUAUCGGGGGAAUCCUCUGGAUUCAAAACCCAAUGCGAGCUGUUCACUGCAAUCUGACCCAGAAUGGCAUCGACCAUCAGGUGUGCACAGAAGAUGUGACCUCACACCUGGAGGAAGUGUCUGUUGAUCAUGGACUGGAUGAUGACAGCCCAGGCUUUCAGGACCAGAGUCCUGGUUUCCAGCGACGGUCUCCACCUCAGCGCUCUGUCUCAGAGUCGGAGCUCUCCAGGCCGGGAAUUGUGAAGCUGUCCAAACCAGUGGCGCUGUGGAGCCAGCAGGACGUGUGUAAAUGGCUGAAGAAACACUGUCCCAAUCAACACCAAGUCUACAGUGACUCUUUCAAGCAGCACGACAUCACAGGUCGUGCUCUGAUGAGGCUCACUGACAGAAAGUUGGAGCGUAUGGGCAUCAUGCAGGAGAGUCAAAGACAGUACAUCUUACAGCAGGUCCUCCAGCUCCGCGUCAGAGAAGAGGUCCGCACUCUGCAGCUGCUCACGCAAGAGCGUUUGGACCCAGAAGUCACGGAAGAGGUGACGCUUGACGUCAGACUUAACAAGCAAAUUAGACAUUGUUAACGAGGCUGAUUGGAAUGAAACUCGGUGGGCCUAUUUGACUCUCAGCCCCAAAGCCUCUCUGGAGAGUUCACCAUAACUUGAGCAUUCCUGGAGGUUCUCCGUUCCUUGUCCAUCUUCUCCGACGCCCCACAGCACAUAACAGACUGCGGUCUUCCUUCAGUCCACUUCUCUCAAAACUCUCCAGAUCUAGACCCUUCCUCUGAACAAAACUGUCCUAAAAAUGGAUCCAGCUGAUCUUCGGUAGCUCUUUACAGCAUAUCAGUUCCAAAUCGCCUGAACUACUGAUGUUCUCUUUUGGACAAUGUGAAAGACUUGCUGCUGAAUUAUCUUGUUCGUUGUAUGUAAUUCUGAAGUGUAGCACUUUAACCUCUUUCUUCCUGCCAGUGCUUAGCACUCAGCCUGUUAGCAUGACAUUCUACAACACGCACUGGACUUCCUGCAAUGGUACAAAAGAACAGUAUCUAUCUAUCUGUCUAUCUAUCUAUCUAUCUAUCUAUCUAUCUAUCUAUCUAUCUAUCUAUCUAUCUAUCUAGGUAGCUAUCUGGCUAACUAGCCAUCUAUACAGAUAGCUCUGUAGCUAAUUAGCUAUCUGUAUAGCUAACUUGUUUAUCUAGCUAGUUAUGUGUUGUUGUAGCUUAUUAGCUAUUAUUAGCUAGGUAAACAAGCUGUCUAGCUAGCUUUCUAGCUGUCUCUUCACCUGUAAACAGUCGAACAAAAUAGCAACAUGUGGACUCCACCCUUUGCACGUCUAAAUAUUACUCGUCUUUUCCUCUCUCCUGUGUCUGCCGUCUCUUAGUAUAAUGUGAACCGUCUGGUCGGCUUGCUUGGUUAGUCGUCUCUUUGUCUUUGUAUGUCCCGAAGCUUGAAUUCCCUCACCAUCCAUCAAAAGCAAGAUCCCGUUAUACGUAUCCCAUAGACUGAACUGCACUGUGACUGUGACCAGGUCUCUUAAAAAGACAAGCCCACCCUUUCACAGGGAGCUGCGUUCCACCCCAAAUCCUUCUUUCAUCGCCGGACCAAAUGCAUUAUACUCUCAUCUCUUGAUCCGGAGCCAAUCUUGAGGUUCGGCUCAUGGUGGAAUUCAAUUAGAAGGCAGGAUGAAGCAACUGAGCUCGGAGCUGUGAAACUGCAAAGAAUCAGAAAUGGGAGACGAUUCUUCUCUUUUUUUGGUUAUGGAGGCAGGAGAAAGAAGGGGAAAAAUAGAUGACAUGCCUCUCUGAAGUCUCAUCCUGCCAUUGGGAGAGACAAGGCAAGGAAGGGAAUGUACUUUUAGGCGUUAUUAAAAAGUGUAUGAACCAGACAGAGCAUUAUUUUGGAGAAGAGAGGACGCAAGAUGCUUGUCACUAGGAGCCUUGAACUUCCCUUUCGCUGUAUCUUUUUGAAUAGAGAUCCUCACAAAGGCAUCACUGUUAAUAUGACAUGGCCAUUCACUGUUACCUUUUUAACUCGGAAGCACAUGGAAGUACUGAAUCAAAUGAACUGUCUUUGUACCCUUUGAUCAUUGUCACCUUUGUAUCAAACCUCCAUUAGUUACAAGAGCCUCAGGCAUCAACAAGGCUUCUCACCACAAAGUUGUAGCAUGACUCCGCAAUAUUGCACACCUUCCACAAAGGCGGCUACACGGUCGCCGAUAAAGGUCCAUGACAGCGCAGACCCGCCAUUGAUUAACCGGAGCGCCUCCGAGUUGUUUCGAGGGCUACAGUAAUAGGUUACAUGCUGCCGAUCGUGGCAUCCGGCCAUGCCUGUGAUGGAAGGUUUGCCUUACAAGAUGCUUUAGAUUGCAGUGAGAUCCAAAAAUUGAGUGGCAUCGAUUAGACCUUGUCGAUUAGAUCUCAUAUUGGCCCUUGUCUGGCUCACAGGAUGGAGUCAAUACUGGGAAUCUGGGGAAAAGCAUGUUCCAAUUAAAAACUAGCUACCAUUUCAUGCCUUUGUGGGGCCUUGGUGUUUUUUAUAGCUUAGAGAGGGCUCAACGCCAGGGGCUUUUGAUGACUGAGGGAACUUGUGAAGGGCUGAGAGGGUGAAAACCGAAAUGGUCAUUGGUUUUAUAGCUGCUAAACUAGUAUAGAUCUCACUAUAUAGAGAAUUUGUGGUUCCUUAGAGAGGAGUUUGUAAAAGGAAAUCACAUUUUUGCUCGAAAUGGGUUUGUCUUGGACGGCUUAGAUGAGCCAUAGUAGGAAGUGACAAACAUUACACAAGCAACUCUAAAUCAGCUCUAAAAGACACUGAGCGAGAGUUUGUGUUCUUUUCAUGUGGAUUAGAUUAUUAGAUGGCAAGAUGUUCACCCACGAGGGGUUUGUUUUUGAUUUGAACUUUAUGAGACCAUCUCAUGGUACAUUAACCGCAGAGUUCAAGUCAAUUCAAAUUGUUUAGCAAAAACUCAAUAGCAGCAUACUGUCGAUUCAGACUCUUAGUUCGCCUUAGGGCGUUUUUGUUAUUUUCUAAGAAAAGUGCAUAGGAAUUAUUUAAUUUUUUAAAGAUUAAAUUUUAUAGCCUAUACUAGAGAUGUACAAUAUACUAAAGUUGUGUUUGAUAAUCACAUAAAAAGAUACAUAGUACUUAUAUAUUAAAAAUAUACAUAACGUUCUUUGAUACGCACCAGGAUCAAAUAACAAUGAUUCAGGAGAGUCAUUCUCACGAGAGUCUUUAAAUAAAAAUAAUGGCCAUAGUGAAAAACAAAAAGGCAAACACUAAUGAACUUUUUUUUGAUCUUCAAGACGCUAGACCUUGGAAAAGCAAAUUCAUAAUAAUUAAUGCACAAAUGUGCAAGGAUAAUACAUGAAUAAACAUUCCCUCUGCUCUUUUAUUUGUUAGAUUUGCCUUUAGAUCCACACAGACUCCAACACUUCUUCACUCUUAAAAACGCUGGGUUAAAAACAACCCAACUUGGGUUAUUUGGCAGCCCAGCGCUGGGUAAAUAUUGGACAGUGUUUAUUUUGACCCAGCUGGUUGGGUUAAAUUUUUGUACUAAACAUGCUGGGUUAUUUUAUUUAAUCAACUAUUGUUUAAAAAUUAUAAUAUUGCUGGCUUAAAAUGUACUGGAACUUAUAAAAAACACAUAGAAUUACUAGAGGCAACAGCAAUAAUCAAAAGAUGAUGGACACAUCUACAAAAUACAAGACAAAUUGAAUUUACUUGGGUGAAUACAGCAUAGUUUACAAUAUUACAUACAUUUAAACUCAUUUAACAAGCAUUGAGACAUAAAAAAAAAAUUAACAUUUAAAAGUAGCAGUUUAAUUUUAGUGUAUCCAACCAUUUUCUGUAAUUGUUUUUCACCAAAAUGGCACUAAUUCUUGUGCCGAUAUGUCACUGAAAUCUGAGCCAGUGAAGGGCUGCUGUUCUCUGGGGUGACUGUGAACUUCUGACCGUGGCCUCGUGUUUCACUCAUAAUUGACUGACACCAAAACCUACCCAUAAACAAACAGUACUGACAUCUCGUCCUUGUAAAAUAAUGCAAUUUACAGCACAGUAAAGAUGUUAUAAAAGAAAUAAAAUGUAUACAAACCUUUCACUGAAGAAGUGCAACAAAUCAGCAGCCCUGAGAACCACUCUCUCCUGUAGAGGACUCAAAAAGCAAGAGGUCUGACUAUAACUCAGCAGCUGGGUUGUUUAGUCAGAGACAGGCUCAACCCAGCAUUUUUUUUGGUAGAAAAAAAUAACCCAGUCUUAAAAAUGACCCAGCAACUUAGUUACAGAAAUACUACGCAGCACCUGGGUAAAAAAUAUUUAAAAUAACCCAAUAAAAUGACCCAAGAAGUUGAACCCAGCAUUUGGGUUAAAAAAAAUAAAAAUAACCCAGCAUUUUUAGAGUGUUUAAAGAAUAGAAAAUGGCUUUUGCUAGAUAAGCAUCUCUGCCAGUGUAGUUCUAUCUGAUAUAAUAUAAAAACAUGUUAGAUUGGCAUACUUUCUCUGGAAAGUUGCACCUUUGACUGUGGAGCUGAAUUUAGUGGAUUAUUGAUGUCCACACAUGUACUGAUGUUCUUCAUGUUGGUUCUUUUUAUCAGCUCUGAACUAGAUUAAAGAGCUGGACGGCACACCUGCACAUAAAUCAAGUGAGCGUUAGCCUAACAACUGCACAAUAUACUCAUGGAUAUACUGAGGCUAUUUUCUUGCAUACACUAUAUUGUUGAUAUAUUGAUGUAUCCAUGCACACACUUAUACCACCACACCAAUAUAAAUGCAUACUGCUGUACACAUUAAAGGGGUAGUUCAACCAAAAAUGAAAAUUACCCCAUGAGUUACUCAGCCUCAAACCAUCCUAGGUGUAUAUGACUUUCUUCUCUCAGACAAAUACAAUUGAAGAUAUAUUAACAAAUCUACCAAGCUUUUAAGGCAGUGAAUGGGUGUUGAGAUUUUGAAGUCCAAUAAAGUGCAUCCAUCCAUCAUAAAAAGUACUCCAGCUUAAUAAAACCUUUCUGAAGCAAAUAAAAGCAUUUGUGUAAGAAUAAUAUCCAAAUUUAAAACUUAAUUUAAAAUCUCUAGCUUCCGCUAACUGUCGUACUCACGUAAACAAAAGAGUGGUGGCAGAGGAGAGAGCAAAACUAAACACCAGUUAUGAAUUAGAAGUACAAAAUGAGGAUUAGUAAAGAAAAAUGUCGGAGGAUUUCAAUAUUAGCCAAGAGGAGACUUGUUUUCCUGUGCUGUGAACAAAACUUGAUUCUCACGAGAUUAGCAUAUUCUCACCGGAGUUUAUGCUACGCCUCCAAGUUUUAAAUAUAGAUAUUUUUCUUACACAAAUGCAUCGAUUCACUUCAGAAAGCCUUAUUAACCCCCUGGAGCUGUGUGGAGUACUUUUUAUGAUGGAUGGAUGCACUUUAUUGGACUUUAAAAUCUCAACACUCAUUCACUGCUAUUAUAAAGCUUAGAAAAGCCAGGAUAUUUAUUUUUAUAUCUCCAACUGUGUUUGAAAGAAGAAAGUUGUAUACAACUAGGAUGGCUUAAGAGGGAGUAAAUCAUAGGUAAUUUUCAUUUUUGGGUGAACUAUCCCUUUAACAGUAUUUACACCCGUUAAACACUAUGAAAUACAAUUUUUGACACUAUGCGAGCAUGUUUUUAUUAUUGUGGUUAUUAAUUUCUGAUGUUUUGAAUUUGGAAGGCAUGCAGACCAAACUCUCAGAGUCCUUUCCUUUUCUCUAUCUCCAUAUAGUGUGCCUACUCAUUAAUUCAUGAAUAUGUUAAUAUUCUAAUAAACAUGUUAAUAUAACAAGGCCA